rnacentral:rRNA from 1 species
UACGUAGGGGGCAAGCGUUGUCCGGAAUCAUUGGGCGUAAAGCGCGUGUAGGCGGCUUGGUAAGUCCGCUCUGAAAGCCCGGGGCUCAACCCCGGGAGGCGGGUGGAUACUGUCAAGCUCGAGUCCGGAAGAGGAGAAUGGAAUUCCUGGUGUAGCGGUGAAAUGCGCAGAUAUCAGGAAGAACACCCGUGGCGAAGGCGGUUCUCUGGGACGGUACUGACGCUGAGACGCGAAAGCGUGGGGAGCGAACAGG